UUUUUAUAUGCCCGAAAGGGCAUAUUAUGUUAUACCCCCUGGCGUCCGUCUGUCUGUCCGUCCGUCCGUCCGUCUGUCCGUCCGUCCGUACGUCCGUCCGUCCGUUAGCAAUUUGGUUUCCGGAGCAUAACUUAAGUUCCAUUUGGCCCACAAUGUUAAAACUUCAUAGGAUGAUUGUCCAUAUUGGGUAGAAGACCCCUAUUGAUUUUGGGGUCAAAAGGUCAAAGGUCAAGGUCACUAUUACCUUAAAACUGAAAACGGUUUCCGGAGCAUAACUUAAGUUCCAUUCGACCCACAAUGUUCAAACUUCAUAGGAUGAUUGUCCAUAUUGGGAAGAAGACCCCUAUUGAUUUUGGGGUCACAAGGUCAAAGGUCAAGGUCACUAUGACCUUGAUACUGAAAACAGUUUCCGGAGCAUAACUUAAGUUCCAAUUGGCCCACAAUGUUCAAACUUCAUAGGAUGAUUGUCCAUAUUGGGUAGAAGACCCCUAUUGAUUUUGGGGUCAAAGGUCAAGGUCACUAUUACCUUAUAACUGAAAACAGUUUCCAGAGCAUAACUUAAGUUCCAUUCGACCCACAAUGUUCAAACUUCAUAGGAUGAUUGUCCAUAUUGGGAAGAAGACCCCUAUUGAUUUUGGGGUCACAAGGUCAAAGGUCAAGGUCACUAUGACCUUGAUACUGAAAACAGUUUCCGGAGCAUAACUUAAGUUCCAAUUGGCCCACAAUGUUCAAACUACAUAGGAUGAUUGUCCAUAUUGGGUAGAAGACCCCUAUUGAUUUUUGGGUCAAAAGGUCAAAGGUCAAGGUCACUAUUACCUUAUAACUGAAAACAGUUUCCAGAGCAUAACUUAAGCUCCAUUCGACCCACAAUGUUCAAACUUCAUCGGAUGAUUGUCCAUAUUGGGUAGAAGACCCCUAUUGAUUUUGGGGUCACAAGGUCAAAGGUGAAGGUCACUAUUACAUUGAUACUGAAAAAUAUGUUUCCAUGCAUAACUUAAGUUCAUUUUGACCCACAAUGUUCAAACUUCAUAGGAUGAUUGUCCAUAUUGGGUAGAAGACCCCUGUUGAUUUUGGGGUCAAAAGGUCAAAGGUGAAGGUCACUAUUACCUUGAUACUGAAAACAGUUGCCGGAGCAUAUGUUAAGUUCCAUUUGGCCCACAAUGUUCAAACUUCAUAGGAUGAUUGUCCAUAUUGGGUAGAAGACCCCUAUUGAUUUUGGGGUCAAAAGGUCAACGGUUAAGGUCAUCCUUACUAAAAAAAAAAAAAUACUUUCGGGCAUAUAAUGCUCCGCCUAGCGGUGCUCUUGUU